rnacentral:sRNA from 1 species
GCUUUUUAUCUCAAAUAUGUUGUUUGCUUCUACCAAUAUGUCUGAGUAAUCUGCUUGUUAGGAAUAGGAUUUCUCAUUAGGGAUUCAUAUGGUUUAGUAGAUUGCCUCCUUGCUAGGUUAUCUGUAGAAUUCUUCAUCUUUAAUUGUGCUUAAUGCUAG